AGAAUCAACGCUGGCGGCGUGCCUAACACAUGCAAGUCGAACGAGAAAGUGGAGCAAUCCAUGAGUAAAGUGGCGACCGGGUGAGUAACACGUGACUAACCUACCCUCGAGUGGGGAAUAACAUCGGGAAACCGAUGCUAAUACCGCAUAACAUCGCAAGAUCAAAGCCGAAAGGCGCUUGAGGAGGGGGUCGCGGCUGAUUAGCUAGUUGGUAGGGUAAUGGCCUACCAAGGCUUAGAUCGGUAGCCGGCCUGAGAGGGCGCACGGCCACACUGGAACUGAAACACGGUCCAGACUCCUACGGGAGGCAGCAGUGGGGAAUUUUGCGCAAUGGGGGAAACCCUGACGCAGCAACGCCGCGUGGAGGAUGAAGUCCCUUGGGACGUAAACUCCUUUCGACCGGGACGAUACUGACGGUACCGGAUGAAGAAGCACCGGCUAACUCUGCGCCAGCAGCCGC
rnacentral:rRNA from 1 species